AGGGGCGUCGCCAAGCGGUAAGGCAGCAGGUUUUGAUCCUGCCAUGCGUUGGUUCGAAUCCAGCCGCCCCUACCA
rnacentral:tRNA from 1 species